rnacentral:lncRNA from 1 species
GAAAAGAAGAGCUCAAACUAUUCCAAUUUGCUGCCAACAUGAUUCUAUAUCUAGAAGACCCAAAAAACUCCACUAGAAAGCUUCUAUAACUCAUAAACAAAUUCAGCAAAGUAUCAGGAUACAAAAAUUAACAUCCAUAAAUCAGUUGCAUUCCUAUAUACCAAUGACGAAUCAGCUGAAAGAGAAAUCAGGAAAACUAUCCCUUUCACAAUAGCCAAAAAAACAAAAAAACAGAACAAAAAGAAAAAAAACAAAAGCAAAAAAACUUGGGAAUCAAUCUAACAAAAGAGGUGAAACACCUCUGCAAUGAAAACUACAGAACACUAAAGAAAGCAAUCGAAGAAGACCUUAGAAGAUGGAAAGAUCUACCAUGUUCUUGGAUAGGCAGAAUUAAUAUUGUCAAAAUGGCCAUACUAGGUUGUAGCUCAGUGGUAGAGCACUUGCCUAGCAUGCAUGAAGCCCUGAGUUCAUUCCUCAGCAUCAAAUAAAAAAUAAACAAAUAAAAUAAAGGUAUUGUGUCCACGUAUAACUAAAAACAUAUUUUUUAAAAAUGGCCAUACUACCCAAAGCACUAUGCAUAUUUUAAUGCAAUUCCUAUUAAAAUUCCAAUGUAGUUCUUUAUAGAAAUAGAAAAAGCAGUCAUGAAGUUCAUUUGGAAAACUAAGAGGUCCAGAAUGGUCAAAGCAAUCCUUAGCAAAAAAAGUGAAGCCGGAGCCAGGUGUGGUGGUGUACGCCUGUAAUCUCAGCGGCUCAGGAGGCUGAGUCACAAGGAUCACGAGUUCAAAGUCAGCCUCAGCAACAGCAAGGCGUUAAGCAACUCAGUGAGAUCCUGUCUUUAAACAAAAUACAAAAUAGGGCUGGGGAUGUGGCUCAGUGGUCGAGUGCCCCUGAGUUCAAUCAGUACCCCCCCCCCAAAAAAAAAAGAUAAAAGAAAAGUGAAGGAGGAGGCAGCACAAUACCAGACCUUAAAUUAUACUGUAGAGCUAUAGUAACAAAAACAGCAUGGUAUUGGCACCCAAACAGACAUGAAGACCAAUGCAACAGAAUAGAAGACACAGAGACAAACCCACAUAAGUACAGUUAUCUCAUACUAGAUGAAGGUGCCAUAAGCAUACAUUGGAGAAGAGAUAGCCUCUUCAACAAAUGGUGCUGGAAAACUGAAAAUCCAUAUGCAAAUAAAAUGAAAUUAAACCUUUACCUCUCACCCUUCAUGAAACUCAACUCAAAUCAGAUCAAGGAUCCAAGCAGGCAUCUUAUGCUGUCUUCUUUGGACAUGAAAGUAGCUUUGGACAGAACCAGGAAGCUCAUGCAUCUUUUCGACUUGAGGAUUAAAAGCUUCCAAGAGAGGUUAUUAGCCCAGGGACAGAGGUCUCCCACCUGAGGAGCACAGCUCAAACACGUUAGAAAGAAAAGGAAACAAACUCAUUGGAGUUUGUUUUAAUGCUCCCUAGAAAGUCAUUUUAUAUGGAAAACGUGCAUUUUGGAAGCUCUGAAUACUUAAAAACACACAUGAGAAAGGGAUUCGUUCUAAAACCUGAAUCUUUGUCUGGCUCCUGACUCCUCUGAAGCAUCAGUAGGUUAGUGAUUUCUGUUUAUGAUACCACAUGGAAAUAAAUCUAAAUUUGUUUUGAUUUUUCUGAUUUUCU